UCCACACUCAGCACAGUAUUGAAGUCUCCCAUUAUAAGCCAAGGGCCAUUGUGGUUCACAUUCCUCAAGGUCUUCCAUAGUGGUGCUCUUCGUUGUGCUGUAUUUUGGCCAUAUACAAAUGUGAUGUAACUAGCAAAAGUUGAGUUUUAUCUGGUCAAUGCUUUCCAGAAUAUCUACCUGGGCAUUGCUCUUUUUCUACAGUAUCCAUAUCCUCCCAUUAGGAGCAUUUGCAUAGUUAUUUUGUAUUUGCCAUUCUGUUCCCAGUUUCUUGUAGAUUGCUUGUGAGUUGUGUUGCUUGACUCUUGUUUCUAGGCAUGCUAUUAUAUCUACUUGAUUUGUUUUCAGAAAUUUCACUAACUCCCUCUGUUUGUAAGACUUGUUUAGUCCUCUGAUGUUCCAUGAGACAAUGAUCAUGAGGAAGUAGUGAUUGAGGUGCCUUCUGGCUGCAUUGCACCUGAUUCUGACUUGCCAUCUCCCUGCUGCUGGUUGUCAUCAGGGGGCUCCUUUGUGGUUAAUAUUUCAUAAGUAUUCCUCCUAGCCUAUUCAUCAUAUUGGAUUUCAUUGUGCUUUG
rnacentral:lncRNA from 1 species